rnacentral:lncRNA from 10 species
GUGGGAAUCCUGGGUGGGCUCAGGGCACUGCUCCUGGCUCCACCUCUCCUGCCAGCACCAGCUCCUUCCCUGAGCCUGUUUCUCCCUCUGAGAGGAGGCUGUGGUCUGUGUGAGCCUCGCUCUCUGAGCCUGAGGGGCCACUGGAGGCUGAGGGUGCCGUGGGCUCCACAGCCCGAUGAGUAGUCGGUGCGGGCUGAGGAAGGAGGUUGGGGCUGCGGCUCCUCCUGUCCCCUGACCCAGUGGGAGCAAAAACAGGAGGAUGAGUGCAUGGCUCUGAUGCUAGGAACUCCUCCACAGGUGACUCUGCUGAGUUUGUUCCCCUGCAGGGACCCACCCACAGGAAGCAUCCCUGAUUAACCUCAUGCCCACUCAGAUUUCUCUGGGAUUUUGCACCCUUCAACCCGUAAGUACCUUGAGUGUUUCAACCACAACUCUUUAUCUAUAGCCACUGAACCCCUAGACUGGAAGAAAAUUUAGAGCAAACUUAAUCCAGCCCCCUUCCGUGAUGCAGAAUUUUGGAUCAUAAUCACCCAAGCAAAAGUUUCACCAGCCUUUACCUUAUCUAGUCCCAUGAUGGGGAAAUUCCUAUUUCAUUUUAAUUGCAUUUCAUUGGCAUAGGCUUGAUGUCCUUAAUUCAUUUCCCGCACAAGGACCAGGGAAUUCCAUUGAAAAUUAUCUACUGAACGCCACUAGCACCCAGAAAUGUGGUAAGUUCCAUGUCACAAAAAGGUUCCACAGGGUCCUCUUAUGUCCAGGCACACACUUCAGUUCACUAAUCAAUGCUCCUUAUGAAACAAGAGUUGCAUAACUAGUCUCAGUGUGAGCAACUGCAAACUUAGAGAUGUGUAAUUGUUAGAGAUUUGUAAGAAAAUAAUAUAGAGAGGAAAUACAUGUGGGGGGGGGGCAGGUGCGGUGGCUCACAUCUGUAAUCCAAGCACUUUGGGAGGCCAAGGCCAAGGUGGGAGGAUUGCUUGAGCUCAGCAGUUGGAGACCAACCUGGGCAACAUGGUGAAACCCCAUCUCUACAAAAAGUACAAAAAUCAGCCGGGCGUGGUUACUUGGGAGGCUGAGUUCCUUGGGAGGCUGAGGCGGAAGGAUUGCUUGAGCUUAGGAGGCUGAGGCUGCAAUGACCCAUGAUCAUGCCACUGCACUCCAGCCUGGGCCACAGAGCAGAAGCCUGUCUCGAAAAUAAAUAAGUAAAUAAAUAAAUAAACAAAAAAUAAAAAGAAAACAUGUGAAAGCACAGGAGAGUAAAAGAAGCAAGAAUCUUGCCAGGGGACAUGGGAGUUUUUGUUACUUGCUUCACUUUUGUGUAUGCCUGACAUUUUUUAUAAUUAACAGUUUAAAAUGCUCAAGGCCAGUUUUUUUUUUGCCAACUACCUUACCAAAUCCUUUCCCAUCAAGUUGUCUGUUCAUUUUAUUGGGUGAUUUUGGGGCAUAGAUGUGACAAAUCUUCAUUGCAAUCAGUUAGGUCAAUGUUUUGUGUGUGUGUGUGAAUAUAAAAAAUUGCUUGAAGCCAGGCAUGGUGGCUCAUUCCUAUAAUCCCAGCUGAUAAUGGGGAGGCCAAGGUGGGAGGAUCACUUGAGCCCGGGAGUCUGACGCUGCAGUGUCACUGCACCCCAGCCAGGGCAACUCAGAGAGAUCCUAUCUCUACAGAUUAGAAAUGUUCCAUUUCAGCUGGACAGGGUUUCUCAUGUCUGUAAUCCCAGCACUUUGGGAAGCCAAGGCAGGAGGAUCACUUGAGCCCAGGAGUUUGAGACCAGCCUGGGCAACAUAGCGAAACCCCAUCUCUAGAACAAUUAAAAAUAAAACAUGAAUUUUAAAUUUAAAAAUUGCUCUACACCUCCAUUUGGAAAGACUGUGUAUGUGUUUGUGUCACGUAUGAAAGCUAAGCUGGCAUCUCCAUAACCACGGGGCUCAGAUCUGUCCUGAUCACGUUGAGCCCCAUAGCCUGACCCUGGAGGAAUGAGUAUCUGCUGUUGUGAAUGAGGCCAGCACCCUUCCCCACCCAGGAAAACCAACGGCCACAGGAGGGCAGCAGAGAGCCACGAUCCCAACCAGAGGAGAAAGCACAGACAGCAUGGGGCAGGUGCAGGCGCUUAUGUUUGUUUAUUGGUUUGUUUUCUUUUUUAUUUAAGUGACCUGUGCCAUCGUAUUGGGCUGAAAUAGCCAGGGAUGUGGCCAUACAG